CGGGGUGCACCAGGCGCGAAAACUUUACAAUGCCGGCAACGGCGAUAAGGGAACCUCGAGUGCCAGGUUACAAAUCUGGCUGUCGUGAUGCCUAAAAAGCAUUGCAUAGCAAGGGCCGGGCAAGACCGGUGCCAGCCGCCGCGGUAACACCGGCGGCUCGAGUGGUAACCGUUAUUAUUGGGUCUAAAGGGUCUGUAGCCGGCCGGGUAAGUCUCUUGGGAAAUCUGGCAGCUUAACUGUCAGGCUUUCAGGAGAUACUGCCUGGCUCGAGGCCGGGAGAGGUGAGAGGUACUUCAGGGGUAGGGGUGAAAUCUUGUAAUCCUUGAAGGACCACCAGUGGCGAAGGCGUCUCACCAGAACGGACCUGACGGCAAGGGACGAAAGCUAGGGGCACGAACCGGAUUAGAUACCCGGGUAGUCCUAGCCGUAAACGAUACUCGCUAGGUGUCGGCCACGGUGCGACCGUGGUCGGUGCCGUAGGGAAGCCGUGAAGCGAGCCACCUGGGAAGUACGGCCGCAAGGCUGAAACUUAAAGGAAUUGGCGGGGGAGCACAAGGGCGAAUUCGCG
rnacentral:rRNA from 1 species